GGUGCAUGAAAUUAGUUGAUAAUGUGGUUCAAGCUGGAAAAUGAAUUAAGUAUGAUCUGAAAAAAGGACUAUUUAAGUACCAGUGAUUACAUGAAGAGGGAAAAAGUUAAUUCUAUGAGGAUAGCCAAAUGAAAGACAUGGAUGAUAAAGAUGCUGUGACCAGAAGUAGGAUAUUUAUGUGUUACGAUCUGUUAGUAGAGCAAUGCCAUGGGAAAGUAAAAUUCAGCAUGUGACCAUGUUUCAAAUUACAAUUAUGUCAUAGUGAUAGAGUGUACUGUGGAAUCAAAU
rnacentral:lncRNA from 1 species